rfam:Tupaia chinensis contig29656, whole genome shotgun sequence.
GUGCUCGCUUCGGCAGCACAUAUACUAAAAUUGGAACGAUACAGAGAAGAUUAGCAUGGCCGGCAUGCUGACAUGUGGGUGCCAACCGAAUAAAAGCAAUUCAUU